rnacentral:lncRNA from 1 species
GUUCUCAGCUCGGCUGCAUGUUAGAGACACCACGCAUGUUUAAAGACUAGUGUGGUGGAGAGUAAAACUUUCUACUCUCUGAAGGUUUGAUAAUUGAGUCUAUGAAGUAAACUGACAGUGGACAGAUGACAGUCUCUCCACUAAAACCAUUUUAAUUAUGUGUAUACGCAUGGAAGUCCCACCAAAUCUGAGGCUCAAAAAGUCCAGAUGAUUGAGGUUUAUACAGUAUUCUGUUUGGGUUUUUUGUUUUGUUUUGUUUCAGAAUCUUGCUCUGUCACCCAGGGUGGAGUGUGGUGGUGUGAUCUCGGCUCCUCACUGCAACCCGUGACUCCCAGGUUCAAGUGAUUCUCCUGUCUCAGCCUCCUGAGUAGCUGGGAUUACAGGCAUGUGCCACUACACCUGGCUAAUUGUUUUUUGUAUUUUUAGUAGAGACAGGGUUUCACCAUAUUUGCCAGGCUGGUCUCAAACUCCUGACCUCAAGUGAUCCAGCUGCCUCUGCCCCACAAAGUGCUGGGAUUACAGGUGUGACCACCAUGUCAGGCCUUAUACAGCAUUCUGCUCUACAGAAAGGAGUAGAGGCUUGAGGCUUCCGGGGAUUAAGCAACAGCAAGUCAUGGCAGGGAAAGGGAAGUAAGUGCUUGGUGAGCAAUCCCUGUCCUGCUCUGCAGAGAAACAGUCUCUGAGCUAAUAGAGGUAUUAAAAAAAAAUAGAGAUAUCCCAGGCCUUCUGCCUGAUACAAUUUACCGAUGUAGAUUUCCUUUGUAGAUAUAAAUUUUCUUUACAAAAGGACAGCUUUUCAGCUGUUCCUGUGCCUGUAGUUUCUCAAAAUAACCAGCUCAAAAUAUGCCAAGGAAGUAUAUUUUGGCAUGUUCUGAUCUCCUAUGGCCAUAUU